UACACCGGUUCCCGUACGAUCACCGAAGUUAAGUAACGUCGAGCUUGGUCAGUACCUAGAUGGGAUACCACUUGGAAAUCCCAGGUGCUGUGA